rnacentral:tRNA from 1 species
GACUGGAUAGCCUAGUGGUAAAGGCAUCACAUUGACAAUGCUGAGGUUCCAGGUUCAAAUUCUGGUCUAAUCA